UCCCCUCCAAAUCAAUCUGGAUACUCCCCUCCAAAUCAAGCUGGAUACGCCCCUCCAAAUCAAGGCGGAUACGCCCCUCCAAAUCAAGGUGGAUAUGCUCCUCCAAAUGCAGGUGGUGGAUACCCUCCCCCCAACAUGAGCGGACCCCCUCCUCCUAACAUGAGCAGACCUCCUCCUCCCAACAGUGGAUACGGUGCUCCUCAAAAUAACUACCUGGGGCAACAAAACCAGAACAUUGCAGGGAUGCCUCCAAAUGCUGGAUGGUCAAAUAAUCAGUAGACUCUCACCAAAUAAAUGCUAUGAUGUCUUGGACUUGAU
rnacentral:lncRNA from 1 species